rnacentral:lncRNA from 1 species
UGUCUGGCUAUCCUUUUAAGAGUCCCUGGCCAGUUUCUAAAACCUCAUGUCUUCCUUCUAGAAAAUUGUGGCCAGCAGUAAGAAGAGCUUAAAGCUUCUACCACUUCACCAGAAAACUUCUCUACAUCUGUGUCUCCCAACCUUUGUGUCUUGUCUCCAUCCUCUCCACCUGGGGACCGCACAACAGAGAUGGUCCAGUUGGUCCAUGGCUCCUCUACCCGCCCUGUUCCUGGUGGCUCUGGUGUGCUGACUUGUAGCCCAGGCUCUGGACUGCCACGUAUGCACCUACAGUGCAGAGAACUGCUUCAAGCCCAUGUGCUGCCUGGCCGUGGUCACCUACGGCACAACUACAGACUUACUACACCCCAAUCAGGAUGAAGGUCUGCUGUCUCAGUUAGUAGAAGUCUGCUUCCAACUUCUCCCCUUGUGUUUUCAACAACUUCCUGUCUUCAGGUAAGAGCAUCCACUUUUACUUAGGGAACUUACCCUAGUGCAUUGAAGAUUGUUGGCCAAGACUGUCAAUAGAGAGGUUGCUGCCCUUCUAGUGUUGGUCAUGUGACCCAGGCUAAGCCAAUCAGAUUAUUUCUCCCUGGACUACAGCUGGAGGUGGUUCUUGCAGAGAAAGAAAAAUAGUGAAGUUUCUUUGAGGGGUUUUCUGUUACUUCUUGUUGCCUAGAUCUUUG